rnacentral:misc_RNA from 1 species
AUGAUGAUGAUGAUGAUGAAGAUGAUGAUACCUGUGAUGUGCUUGAUGAUGGAGAAUUGAGUUUUGAUUGUGGACAGAAUGACGAUAAGCAAGAUGUUUCUACAUCAAGAAACUCAAUGGAGUUGGAUCUAGUGGAUGUUACAUUUCCCCAAGUUGCAACAUUAGAAGUCACAAAGGAAAAUCUUGAUAGAAGAUAUCUGAAAUCAUUUUCUUCUAGAGGAGAAAGUAGGAAAAUAAGCCAAUCAGCACCACUUUUUGCUGAAAAUAAAUCUGAUCCUGCAGAAAGGGUGAAACAGAUGCGGCCAUCUUCAAGAAGGCUCAACACAUAUGUACUGCCUACCCCAGUUGAGACAAAGAGUUCAAACUCUACAGGAGCAGGUAGUCUAGUUCAUCAAACGUUGAAGACAAGUUUGAAUGGGCACAAUUUGUGGCAUUCAUCCCCUCUAGAACCAAAGAAAUAUGAAAAAUUAACAGG